rnacentral:rRNA from 1 species
UACGGAGGGAGCUAGCGUUGUUCGGAAUUACUGGGCGUAAAGCGCACGUAGGCGGCUUUUUAAGUCAGGGGUGAAAUCCUGGAGCUCAACUCCAGAACUGCCUUUGAUACUGGAGAGCUAGAGUCCGGAAAAGGUGAGUGGAACUGCGAGUGUAGAGGUGAAAUUCGUAGAUAUUCGCAAGAACACCAGUGGCGAAGGCGGCUCACUGGUCCGGUACUGACGCUGAGGUGCGAAAGCGUGGGGAGCAAACAGG